ACGUAGGUGGCGAGCGUUAUCCGGAAUUAUUGGGCGUAAAGGGAGCGUAGGCGGAUAAUUAAGUGGGAUGUGAAAUACUCAGGCUCAACCUGGGGGCUGCAUUCCAAACUGAUUAUCUAGAGUGCAGGAGAGGAGAGUGGAAUUCCUAGUGUAGCGGUGAAAUGCGUAGAGAUUAGGAAGAACACCGGUGGCGAAGGCGGCUCUCUGGACUGUAACUGACGCUGAGGCACGAAAGCGUGGGGAGCAAACAGGAUUAGAUACCCUGGUAGUCCACGCCGUAAACGAUGAGUACUAGCUGUCGGAGGUUACCCCCUUCGGUGGCGCAGCUAACGCAUUAAGUACUCCGCCUGGGAAGUACGCUCGCAAGAGUG
rnacentral:rRNA from 1 species